GAUCCUGGCUCAGGAUGAACGCUAGCUACAGGCUUAACACGUGCAAGUCGAACGGUAACAUAAAGAAGCUUGCUUCUUUGAUGACGAGUGGCGGACGGGUGAGUAAUGCUUGGGAAUCUAGCUUAUGGAGGGGGAUAACUACGGGAAACUGUAGCUAAUACCGCGUAAUAUCGAAAGAUUAAAGUGUGGGACCUUCGGGCCACAUGCCAUAGGAUGAGCCCAAGUGGGAUUAGGUAGUUGGUGAGGUAAAGG
rnacentral:rRNA from 1 species